rnacentral:rRNA from 1 species
AUACGGAGGGUGCAAGCGUUACUCGGAAUCACUGGGCGUAAAGCGCGCGCAGGCGGGCUGAUAAGUUGGAUGUGAAAGCCUACGGCUCAACCGUAGAACUGCAUCCAAAACUGUCAGUCUAGAGUCUGGGAGGGGAAGAUGGAAUUAGUUGUGUAGGGGUAAAAUCCGUAGAGAUAACUAGGAAUACCAAAAGCGAAGGCGAUCUUCUGGAACACUACUGACGCUGAGGCGCGAAGGCGUGGGGAGCAAACAGGAUUAGAAACCCCGGUAGUCC